GCUAAAAAGUGCUUGGAUGCUCCCUGUCAAAUCGAGCACUCGUUUUUCGGCCGUUGGAUUCGUCCUGGACAGAUCGAUCUCGCGCCGCGAAGUCCGACCGAAAAGCACCUGCGUCUAGACAAAUCUCCACCUAGAUCCUACGUGGCACGUGUCGUGUAGCUACCGGUUUGAGUCCCGCACCCUUCUCUCUCUGCGGGGUCGCUGAAGCCGUUCCCCAUUUUCUCCUCUCCCAUUCUCAGCGCGCUAGGGUUCCAUGGAAAUUUCUGUGGCGGAGGUCAACGGCGACCGUCCUGCUUGCCGUCGGAGGACGAGGGUGCGCGGGCAGGAAGGCUAGCUCGACGGCAAAGGGCGAGCGGCGAGGUAGUGCGGCCUGCUCUCCAUCGGAGAGCGAGGUUUCCGGUCGGGCGACGAGGUUGAUUUGGGCGUGGAGGUCGUCCUCGAUCGAUUUUCUCGUCGCCGGACUGCGGGAGCAUGCAGGAGGAAGGUUCGCUUGACGGCGAAGGGUGGGCCGCACGGUACAACAUCGUGCUCUGCAUCUGGCAUCGAGGUUUCCGCUUGGGCGGCGGGUGACGAAGUUCUGCCAAGGAUUCUGACCACGUUGAGUUCCAGAGGUAACUCCAGUGCAAAUCCCCUUUCAAUCACGUUAUAUUCUGCUGUGUUGAGGAGCAAUUCAUGGCAAUGUCUGCAUUAAUUUCAGUUUGGAUUUAUCUGCUGGUGUCUAUGUCCUGUUCGAUUGUGUCUAUGGAUCCCUAAUGUUGGCUUGAACCACAAUGAAGUAGAUCUCCGGUUAUGUUCAUGGCGCUAUGCUAUGAAUGAUUUCAUCCCGCGUGAGGGAUUUCUGUUUGGCAGAAUUAGUUCAGUGGUCCAAUUUAGGGCUACUUUGUUGUUGUAGCAUAUGCUGUUACUGAAGUUAUAUGAUGGCUGAUGGGGAAAUAGAACAUGUAUCACUAGUGGUUUCCCAUGUACUUUCAGCGGGAAGUCAUUUUAUCUGCUUAGUUGCAGGGUUAACAGGUUGCGAUGCGGGCAGAAUUUUCUCACUAGUCAUACACUAAUUCCGAUCAGAUUUCACUAGUCAUGCACUAAUUCUGCUUACUAUAGUUUCGUGUUUGCACACAGAUUUGGGACACCGCUUGCCACCCCAUUUGGUAGGAUCGAGUUUGAACUAGUUCAUGUGUUACUGCUUUGUAAAUUGCCGAUGGACUGGUAAUUUGGAUAGAUUUUUUUGCUGGCAUUAAAUGUUGUAAGCUGGACACUCAUGUUAAUUUGCAAGUUGACAUCAUAUAGAUAGGUUUGUUUUGUUGUCAACAUUUUCUUAAGUUGGCUUCGGAACACGAUUAAGUUGGUUUCAUAUAAACUAAAUUGGCUUCUGAACAUAGUUAAACUAUUUCCCGGAUACUACUCUUUUCAAAUCUCUGUCAACAUGCUUAAGUUGGUUUCAUUUACACAAUUAAGUUGGCAUAUGAACAUGGUUAAUUUGUUUCCUGAAUACAACUAUUUUCAAACCUCGGCAUACCGCAUACAUGGUUAAGUUGGUUUCAUGUAAUCAAUUAAGUUGGCUUCUGGACAUGGUUAAUUUGUUUCAUGGAUACAACUAUUUUCAAAGCUCUCCAUCCAUGGUUAAGUUGGUUUCAUGUAUAAAAUUCAGUUGGUUUCUGAAUUUGGUUAAUUUGCUUCCUAAAUACAACUAUUAUUUCAAAAUCUUUGUCAAUAUGGUUUUAGUUGGUUUCACAUAUGAAAGUAAGUUAGCUUCUGAACAUGGUUAAAUUGUUUUUCCUGAUUACAAAUAUUUUCAUAGCUCCGCCAACAUGCUUAAGUUGGUUUCAUGUAUUCAAUUAAGUUGGCUUCUGAACCUAGUUAAUUUGUUUCGUGAAUAAACUAUUUUCAAAUCUUUUCCAAUUUUUAUUAUUUUUCACCUAUAUGUGUAUUCCAGCACGCCCUUCUUAGACAUUUUUAACUAAUGUAUGGUUAAGUUUGGUUAUCCUGCAUGAUUAAGUUGAUUAUAUUAUUUGGUCGCGUAUGACUUUUCAUCUACAUGAAGAAUGUCUGCUGCAGAGUUUGCUGAAUAUUUCGCUGAACUACAGACAUGCAUUCGUCUUGGCUAUUGCGACUUCUAUAUGAUGGAAAUGGCUGAAUACAACUAUCUAUUGUUAUGAAUUCUAGAAUUUACAUAAUUUAGAUUCGGCUGUUGUGACCUCUCAUGGCUCUGAUCUGAUGUUCUCUUGUUCUUAUUGUUGCCUUCUUGAUCUUGUAGCUUACACGGAGUUAGUUAAUCUAGGAUUUGGUAUUUUACCUAUAUCUGGUCAUGUGAUAUCAUCCCUUUCCUAAAUUUUGUUCUGAUCACUAAUUUUGCAAGUGUUUGGUUAUAUGCUUUACUGGCUUGUGAUUGUUCAUGUACAUGAAUAUUGUUGUUGGAAGAACAUCAUGGCAUGCUAUGCUGAUCUGUAGACUCUGCCUCGCCAAUGGUGAACGCCCUCGGUGGGAGGGCCCUGAUGGUGAGGCCCCAGCGUGGAGGCCACCGUCGCUGCUCUUCACAUCCCGUUGCGGUGGCCAGUGCCCUCCCACACGCUCCUCCGUAAGGCGGCGGCAGCACAAGGGUGAGCAAGCUUCGGGCGAAGGCGGCGGUCGGCCACAAACCUACUCGGUUUUUUAAAGAUGACUAAGCAGAACCUGCGUUUACCAGAAGUCUGACAAAGCAUGGGAUCAAUGGAGAUGUAGAGGAGGAAGAAAAGCUCGACUUCUUAUUGCAGACCAUAUAUCUAGACGAGAGGGAAAGGUGAGAGAAAGAGAGAUGGGGGUGCGAUCCUAACUGUGAGCUGGUACAUAUAGACUUGGUCCCCUCCUA